CCCAUUAAAACAAGAAAUGCAAUGUGUGGGAGGAUGGCAGAAGCAGGCAAAGGUCCCCAACACCUUAAGGACACACAACAGAAAUAUUCCGUCAUGAUUCCCUUAAAUUCCAGAAGAUGUGUCCCCAAGGGGCUAAAGAUCCUCUUACCGGUUAUCUGCGUUCCCAAUUGCACCCAAACUUCUGACACCAGUUUGUUGGGGAUAAAAUCAGCCCGGGCCCUUUGUGGAUGAUGGAUAUUUGCCAACUCAUACAGAGCUCUGGAAAUUGGAAAUGAAUAGCAGAGACAUGUUCAAUAACCAAUUCAAAUUGUAUUCAUACGUCAGUUAUAUUUAUACCCCAUUUUCAUAGCAGGAUGGGAGGGGGAAAAUGAGCAUAUGGGCGUGACAAUGACAUUGUUUUUCACAAGUUAUAAACAGCUGUUUUUAGUUAUAAUUCAAUGUUACAUAAUGUAUGCAUAUUGGAUAAAACCCAGAUGAUUACAAAUACCGAAAUCUUGGACAAUUAACAAGGUCAUUCCAGAAUCCUUAUCAUGUCAUGUCAUGUCAUGUAAAUAUCCUUUUCCAGGAACAUAACAAAAUC
rnacentral:lncRNA from 1 species